rnacentral:tRNA from 1 species
GGGUCGGUACCAAAGCGGACAAAUGGGACUGGCUGUAAACCAGUUGGCUUUCACGCCUUCGGGGGUUCGAAUCCCUCCCGGCCCA